rnacentral:rRNA from 1 species
AGCGAACGCUGGCGGCAGGCUUAACACAUGCAAGUCGAGCGGGCAUCCUUGUGGUGUCAGCGGCAGACGGGUGAGUAACGCGUGGGAACGUGCCCUUCGGUUCGGAAUAACUCAGGGAAACUUGAGCUAAUACCGGAUACGUGCGAGAGCAGAAAGGUUUAUCUGCCGAAGGAUCGGCCCGCGUCUGAUUAGCUAGUUGGUGAGGUUAUGGCUCACCAAGGCGACGAUCAGUAGCUGGUCUGAGAGGAUGAUCAGCCACACUGGGACUGAGACACGGCCCAGACUCCUACGGGAGGCAGCAGUGGGGAAUAUUGGACACUGGGGGCAACCCUGAUCCAGCCAUGCCGCGUGAGUGAUGACGGCCUUAGGGUUGUAAAGCUCUUUUCUCCGGGACGAUAAUGACGGUACCGGAGGAAUAAGCCCCGGCUAACUUCGUG